rnacentral:lncRNA from 1 species
UCGAACCUCCGACUUUCGUUCUUGAUUAAUGAAAACAUUCUUGGCAAAUGCUUUCGCUCUGGUCCGUCUUGCGCCGGUCCAAGAAUUUCACCUCUAGCGGCGCAAUACGAAUGCCCGGCCGUCCCUCUUAAUCAUGGCCUCAGUUCCGAAAACCAACAAAAUAGAACCGCGGUCCUAUUCCAUUAUUCCUAGCUGCGGUAUCCAGGCGGCUCGGGCCUGCUUUGAACACUCUAAUUUUUUCAAAGUAAACGCUUCGGGCCCCGCGGGACACUCAGCUAAGAGCAUCGAGGGGGCGCCGAGAGGCAAGGGGCGGGGACGGGCGGUGGCUCGCCUCGCGGCGGACCGCCCGCCCGCUCCCAAGAUCCAACUACGAGCUUUUUAACUGCAGCAACUUUAAUAUACGCUAUUGGAGCUGGAAUUACCGCGGCUGCUGGCACCAGACUUGCCCUCCAAUGGAUCCUCGCGAAAGGAUUUAAAGUGGACUCAUUCCAAUUACAGGGCCUGAAAGAGUCCUGUAUUGUUAUUUUUCGUCACUACCUCCCCGGGUCGGGAGUGGGUAAUUUGCGCGCCUGCUGCCUUCCUUGGAUGUGGUAGCCGUUUCUCAGGCUCCCUCUCCGGAAUCGAACCCUGAUUCCCCGUCACCCGUGGUCACCAUGGUAGGCACAGCGACUACCAUCGAAAGUUGAUAGGGCAGACGUUCGAAUGGGUCGUCGCCGCCACGGGGGCGUGCGAUCGGCCCGAGGUUAUCUAGAGUCACCAAAGCCGCCGGCGCCCGCCCCCGGCCGGGGCCGGGAGGAGGCUGACCGGGUUGGUUUUGAUCUGAUAAAUGCACGCAUCCCCCCGCGAAGGGGGUCAGCGCCCGUCGGCAUGUAUUAGCUCUAGAAUUACCACAGUUAUCCAAGUAGGAGAGGAGCGAGCGACCAAAGGAACCAUAACUGAUUUAAUGAGCCAUUCGCAGUUUCACUGUACCGGCCGUGCGUACUUAGACAUGCAUGGCUUAAUCUUUGAGACAAGCAUAUGCUACUGGCAGGAUCAACCAGGUAGGAGCGCGAGGGAGCCGGGAGAGGCCGCGCACGCGCGCGCGCACACGCGCCGAGGCGGCGGCGGCGGCGGCGGCGACCUCUCGCGGCACGGGCCGUGCGUGCCCGGGCGCGGGGCGCACGGAGGCGGCGGCGGCGGCGGCACCCGAGGCGCGGGGGCGGGGCGAGGACGGACGGACCCCGCCGCCCGCCCCGGCCGACGAGGACGCGCGCGCGGCGGCGUGGAGGGGCGGGGGCGCCCCUCGCGGCGGCCCCGAUUGACGGCGCGUGAGCGGGGCCGGGGCACCAGGCAGUCGCGUCGACACCGGCCGGCCGGCUGCCCGCGCACGCCCCCGCGGGCCGAGAGCCGGACCGAGGCCCGACCCCCGCCCCAGGGGUGGCGCGGCGCGCCGGCGGCCGGUCACGACGGCUGCCCGGGACCCGACCCGCGCUGCGACAGACACGCGCGCGCCAGAACGGGGCGCCGCGGGGGACGGUCCCCGCCCGCACGCAACGUCGCCGUCGCGCGGGCAGCGGCGGCGGACACGGAGGAGGCCGCAGCGGCCCCGGGAAGCGAGUCGCGCUCGGGGCGGGGCCCCGUCGGGCAGCCAGAACAGGCGACGACGGGGAAGGGCUCGGGAGAAGGCCGACGGCGGCGAGGGCCGAGGCGCCGGAGAGGCGGUGGCGGUGGAGGAAGGGCCGCGGCCCGCCGAGAGACGCGCUCGGGGCAAGGAGGGAAGACAGAGCCUCCCGAGGCAAGUCGGCCGCCGGAGCACACACGGGGUCUCACCGCCAGGGGCCUCCAGCACCAGGGGCGGUCCGCAGCGCCCGGAACGGCGACUGGCCCCGUCGCCCGCGCGCAGCUCACGGGGGCUCGGCCCCACCACCCACCUCCACGGCCAGGGCUCUCCCGCACACGGCGCCGGCGUCCCACGCCGGGCGCCUGGCGCACGGGCGCCACCCAACCGGAGCCGAGGCACUUCGCCCGGGCACCACCGGCCUCGGUGGCCGGAGGCGACACCCGCGCGGCGAGGCCCAUUUCGGUCCCGGCCGGUGGGCGGCGCGGCCAGGCGUCUGCCCGGGCGGGGAGCACCGGCGGCAACGGGGAGCGCGGCGCGCGCCUCGACGGAGGGAGCGCGGGCUCGCGGGAAGGCUCCCGGGGACGGCCUCGGGCGCGGACGGGCCACCAGGAAAACACACGCGGGAUCCCACCGCCAACGACACGCGAGGGCGGUCCCACGACGCCUGGGACGCCGGCCGGCCUCAGCCACCCUUCGGCCUCCCGCGGGCCCGGCCCCACCGCCGGGGCCUACGUGAGGCGCCCCCGCCGCCGGGGGCCGCCAGAUCCCGUCCCGGCGCCCCCGGACCCAGCCUCCCGGCCCAGCUCGGCCCCGGGGCGUCCGCCCGCGGGCUCCGGCCGCCAAGGCGCAGCCCCAGCCGCAGGAGGGGGACCCGGAAAAGGUUUCUCGGGCGCUCACCGGGAAGGGGACGGGGAGAGUUCCCCCAGAGAGGCCAGGGGUCGGCCCGGGCCGGGCUGAGCCGGUGCGGCCGGGAGGCCGCCGCUUCCCGGAGCGGCCGGAGCGCCCCCGGGGCUCCCGGGAGGACUUAGAAAAUCAGGGCGGGCGGGGACGGUCAAACCGAAACCAGGCACGUCAUCCGAGAAGGACCGUGAUGACGGGAGGAGGAAAGCUUUCAAGCGCAGAGGGUCUGUCGAAGGCAGGCGGAGAGUCUACCCGCUGAAACGGACGAAGAUGGGAAAAAGAGGCUAGCUGAGGUGCCGACAUUUAAGGAAAUUAAAAAAAAAAAAAAAGCACGAGGGCGUGGAGAACUGGGGGAAAAUCAACACUGAGAAAUCUACCCUCUGAAACUGACGAAGAUGGGCAACAGGGGCUAGCUCGGGUGGCAAUCUUUAAGCAGAACACACACACACACACACACACACACACACACACAGGCGUAGAGACCUGGGGAAAAAGCAACGCUGAGAAAUCUACCCUCUGAAACUGACGAACAUGGGCAACACAGGCUAGCUCAGGUGGCAAUCGUUAAGCAAAAAAAUAAAUAAAUAAAAUAAAAAACUACA